rnacentral:rRNA from 1 species
UAUAGAAUGACUCUCGGCAACGGAUAUCUAGGCUCUUGCAUCGAUGAAGAACGUAGCGAAAUGCGAUACUUGGUGUGAAUUGCAGAAUCCCGUGAACCAUCGAGUCUUUGAACGCAAGUUGCGCCCGAUGCCAUUAGGUUGAGGGCACGUCUGCCUGGGCGUCA